rfam:Culex pipiens quinquefasciatus supercont3.512 genomic scaffold, whole genome shotgun sequence.
GCCGGUGUGGAUCAAUCGGAUCGCGCACUGGACUCACAAUCCAGAGGUCGCCGGUUCGAAUCCCGCGGCGGGCG